AGGUAUACAUAAUCAGUGGUAUUGAUGCAAAGUCAAAACGAGCUUAGCAUAAGUGCGCUACGCUCGAUCGGGUAAGCAUAACUAUUGGGUAUGAAGUCAUAUGGACCUAAGGUUUGGUGUGAGUGUUUUACACAUAAGGAUAAUAGGCCUAGCAGAUGAUUAAGUCGAAAUUAUUGAAGUGAUAAGGUUUUCAUAAGUCAAAAGGUGAAAUGAUGAGAUGAAAGGUGUCAAAUUUUGAUACAAUAAGGCUAAAUCAUUGAAAAUAAGGAAUUUUCAUCAACCUUAUCACUUUGCACGACCAUUACUCUGAAAAAUAGAGAGAAAAGAAAACCAAAAACCAUUUCUUGGCUGGUUUGAAGAAAUUCUAAGGAGAUCCAAGUGAAAGCAAAGCCAAAGAAUUAGAUUAAGCUUAGUUCUAGCAUUUUUAUGAUAUUUCUUGGGGUUUCCAAGUGGUUUGAGGUUUAGAAAAGCUUGAAGAGAUUGUUUUCGCCGAAAAGUUGCUCGGAUAAGCACAUCAAUACCUAAGACACCACUUGUUACACGGUGAAUUAUAUUUUGGAUAGAAGGAAAAUAAGCUUUAGAGGCGGUAAGAUUCGUGACGCUUAGAGGAUGUGUAUCGAUGGUGAAUGGAGUCAAAGGGGCCGAGCGUUAUUCGAUUCGAGGAUGUAGUCUUGUUUAUGUUUUUAUGGUUUUAGAUGUAUUUUCUGCAUUUUCUAUGUAACUCUUUUUACUUUAAGUUAUUUUUGUUUUAAAGACAAUGGGUACCCAUAUCCUACUUAUUUUUAUGAAAGUAACCUUUGUUUCUACAAGUUUAUAAUAAAUUAUGGUAUUUUCGCAAAUGUA